rnacentral:lncRNA from 1 species
AUUCACCCAACAACAUUUUUGAUGCAUGAUGCAUAUGGUGCUAAAUGCUGGGAAUGCAAACCUGAGUAAGUGUCUAUUUCAAAUCAAUAGGAGUACUUGAAGAUUCUCCCUGCUUACAAUGUAAACAUCAUGAAGAAAGAGAUGUGUUGGACUUGUUCAUCGCUAUAUUUCCUGGCUCAGAUCCUGGCACUGAGUAGACAUCAAGAAAUAUUUAAAUGAAUGAAAGAAUGAAUGAAUGAAUGAACGAACUGUGUCCUCUUGUAGAGCUGAGGGUGUUUUACCACUACCCUAAGAGCUGACACCAGGAGGUCUUGCUGCAAAGCCAGGCACUGUAUUCCACACUGUAUUUCCAUCAUCGCUUUUAAUGAGACUUCUUUGCAAAUAUGUAUGGUAUCUUUUAAAAUACCUGAUAACCAGCCAGCAGGGGUGGUCAGCUGCUACACUGGUAGCCACAAACAGAAUCCAAGACACAGAACUUCAUACGGUGUCACAGCUUCAUUUUCCAGGCUACAGCUCCCACUGCCCACAUCAGAACCAUCUGCAGGUCCAUAAGCUGUGAGUUUCUUUGGGAGUUGGGGGAGUGUCUUUUGGAUGUUUAUAACUUAUGCAUCUUAAUAUUGAAUGUGCACUUAAUACAUGGAACUUCAUAGUACUUGAUUUUUUAUGCAAAAAUGACUUAAUUAAAAUUUCUUGAAGAAACA